rnacentral:lncRNA from 1 species
CCUAAGUCCCUAACAGAUUUGGUAUAUAUGUAAGAAUAUUUGUAAAUAUAUUAUUAUAGAGGAGGUAUUUUAGUAAAUACAUAUACAUAAUGGGUCGGACAGGAUAUGAUUUAGGGGUAAAUCUAUAUUCCGACCCUAUCCGCUGUAGGUUUUCAAAAUCAAGACCCUAAUCUAACCCGUGAUGGGCUUUUUAAAAAAAAAACCCUACUCUAUCUGACGGAUUGGAGCGGGUACCCACCGAGUAGGGUAUCCAUUGACAUCUCUAGAUAUGGGCAUAUACAGUACCAACGAAG